GACGAAGGAUCCAAGCGUUGUCCGGAUUUACUGGGUUUAAAGGGUGCGUAGGCGGAUAAAUAAGUCAGAGGUGAAAGCCUGCAGCUCAACUGUAGAACUGCCUUUGAAACUGUUUGUCUAGAGUAUACUUGAGGUGGCUGGAAUAUAUCAUGUAGCGGUGAAAUGCUUAGAUAUGAUAUAGAACACCAAUUGCGAAGGCAGGUCACUAAGAUAUAACUGACGCUGAGGCACGAAAGCGUGGGUAGCAAACAGG
rnacentral:rRNA from 1 species